UGGCCCGUAGCUCAGUUGGUUAGAGCACCACUCUUUUAAAGUGGGAGUCCCGCGUUCGAGCCGCGGCGGGCCAA
rnacentral:tRNA from 1 species